AUUGAAUAGUGCUUGUAACUCUCCACUCAAUGUAAAUUGGCCUAGUUAUAAAUAUCAAUAUCUAAUGGCCAUUAAAUGCAUAUUCCUCCAUGGUGUAUACUGGUAAAGACAUUGAAAGUUUUUAUUGCCUUUGCGGCCCAGGUUCGAUUCCUGACUCUGUCAUUUUUCUUUCUUGAUUUGGCAUUUAUAAGAUUGUUUAGAAAUGAAAAUUCAUAUUCUGAUGUUCAUAAUUUAGCCAAACUUCACUUUGAAAGAAAAAUCGUUUUCAGCGAAAAUCUGGAGGUCAGUGCCUUUAGCUGUCAUACAAAUUCACCCAUGGUGAUACUUAUCAAGAAGUAUCAAGAAGGUAGGAAAGUUUUUAUUGCUGAGGCAGUCCAGUGUGAUGUACAAGGAAAGCAGAAUGCCUAGAGACCAGUUACUUCAGAAUUGAAGAGAUGCAGGUCUUUAUUCUACAUGUGAAAGAGGGAAUUACAGUGGAUAUUUAGAUUUAUCAGUGAAAACCUGUGAAGUGUUAGUGAAGCAGAAUAGUUACAGAUCAUAAGAGAUGCGGGUCUUUGUUCAGCAUGGUGUAUAUGGAAAACAUAGUGGAUGGUCAGCAUAGAAAACAUUUAACAAUGUGAAGCAACAGUCGAGCAGAAUGGUUACAGACUAUUAAUUCAGAACUGAAGAGAUGCAGGUCUAUAGGACUGUGAUGUGUGUACCAGUCAUCAGGCUAUCCCAUUCUGUCCAGUCAACAAAUUGGCAAUGGCUACAUGGAUUCUCAAUUAUGAACAUCAGUACUGACAGACCUGUUCUUUGCCAGUGGUGUAGAAAUGAUGGAAGUAUCGCAAAAGCUGAUAUGACAGCAAAAUAUUCAAGGAAGUUCUCUAUGGAGAACAGCAAAUGGGAAACAGAUCCAGCAAUAUAAGUCUUUAUACAAGAUGAUAGCUAUUUCAAAUUAAUCCUAAAUUAUUAUGCAUAUGAGUUAAUACCACCAAAGUUUUGAAUAUUUUGAUGGCUUUAAUUCUCUUCUAUGCUAGCUUAGGUCUUUUUAGUUGUCAUUAUGAAGGUAGUAAUUAGAUCACUCCCAAAAAACGUUUUCAGUUAUACUACCAACAAAAUAGGAUAAUAUUUAGGUACACAGACGGUUCAAAUUAAGGUGGCCACCAUUUUCUAAAUUUUGAAGUAACUACCUUAAAUUCAAUCAAACAUGUACAUAUGAAAGAGGUAUAGCUCUACAAAAGUCAAAGCUAUAACUGAAAUCACCUGAAAUAAAUAUAAACAUGUUAGAGGAUUUUAAAUAACCAACUGAAAUCGGUUACACAUACAAAUAAACCAUUUUACAGAUCGCUUUUUUCCCUUAGCAAAGGGAGUAAAUUUUCGCACAU
rnacentral:lncRNA from 1 species